UACGAAGGGGGCUAGCGUUGCUCGGAAUCACUGGGCGUAAAGGGCGCGUAGGUGGCCGAUCAAGUCAGGGGUGAAAGCCUGUGGCUCAACCACAGAAUUGCCUUUGAUACUGUUCGGCUCGAGACCGGAAGAGGUAAGUGGAACUGCGAGUGUAGAGGUGAAAUUCGUAGAUAUUCGCAAGGACACCAGUGGCGAAGGCGGCUCACUGGCCCGGUACUGACGCUGAGGUGCGAAAGCGUGGGGAGCAAACAGG
rnacentral:rRNA from 1 species